GCGGCACGCUUCAUACAUGCAAGUCGAGGGGGCAGCAUAAAGUACUUGUACUUUGAUGGCGACCGGCGAACGGGUGCGUAACGCGUAUGCAACUUACCUUUUACUAGAGAAUAGCCAAGAGAAAUUUUGAUUAAUGCUCUAUACUCUUAUUAACUCACAUGAGUUUUUAAGAAAAGCUCCGGCGGUAAAAGAUGGGCAUGCGUCCUAUUAGCUUGUAGGUGAGGUAACGGCUCACCUAAGCUCCGAUAGGUAGGGGUCCUGAGAGGGAGAUCCCCCACACUGGUACUGAGACACGGACCAGACUUCUACGGAAGGCAGCAGUAAGGAAUAUUGGACAAUGGAGGCAACUCUGAUCCAGCGAUGCCGCGUGAAGGAAGACGGCCUUAUGGGUUGUAAACUUCUUUUAUACAGGAAGAAACCUUUCCACGUGUGGAAAGCUGACGGUACUGUAAGAAUAAGGAUCGGCUAACUCCGUGCCAGCAGCCGCGGUAAUACGGAGGAUCCAAGCGUUAUCCGGAAUUAUUGGGUUUAAAGGGUCCGCAGGCUGUUUGUUAAGUCAGAGGUGAAAUCCUACCGCUCAACGGUAGAACUGCCUUUGAUACUGGCAAACUUGAGUUAUUGUGAAGUAGUUAGAAUGUGUAGUGUAGCGGUGAAAUGCAUAGAUAUUACACAGAAUACCGAUUGCGAAAGCAGAUUACUAACAAUAUACUGACGCUGAGGGACGAAAGCGUGGGUAGCGAACAGGAUUAGAUACCCUGGUAGUCCACGCCGUAAACGAUGGUCACUAGCUGUUCGAUGUACAUUGGUACAUUGAGUGGCUAAGCGAAAGUGAUAAGUGACCCACCUGGGGAGUACGCUC
rnacentral:rRNA from 1 species